rnacentral:lncRNA from 1 species
UAGUAUAUGCUAAUGAUUAUUUGACUCUUAAAUCCCAUUUCUCUUGAUAAUUUGGAAAUAUUUUAUUAAUGGGCUUGCGUUUUAAUAUUUAUACUCCUAUUUUAUUUGUUUGAACAAAAUAUUUAAAAGUAGCAACACACAUAGAUUACAUCCCCAAUCAAUUGUCAAACAUUUGUAAUUUAGUAGUUUGGCUUAAUUCCACUUUGUAAUCUUGAAAUCUAGCAUUUUGAUACUAUAUACAUCUUUAAAAAAAAUUAAUAGCACUUUGCAUCAUUGAAUUACAUUAUAUUAUUCACAAUGCACCAUGAACUAAAUAUUAAAAUGCUAAAACAAUAAAAAUCAUAACUAAUUACUGACAAAAAAAAAACUAUAUUUUCUCUAAAAAAAUAAUCUCACUAUAUUAUUCGAUUGAUGGAUUUUUUUUAUUAUAAUUAGUGGUAUAAAUUUUUUGAAGAAACUAUAAUUUUCAUAUAACUUGAUACCUAAAUAGUCCAAGUAAAUUUAUUUUUUUAUCUUUUGUGAAAAAAAAAAAGUUAGUAUGUAUAUGGGAUAUAUUUGUAUUUUUGUAUUUUGUAGUUUUAUUAUUUAACUAAACUAAACAAUAUAUACACACACUGUUAAACAAACUUUAUACCCAAUAUGAAUUAGUCUCACUAACUAUUAUACUUAGUUUAGCCUUUUGGAUUACCAUUUAAAUUGCAAGUGGUGUUUUUUUGUGUUUGUGUAUAGCAUGUAGGUCAUACUUGAUUAAGCAAAUCAAUUAACAUAUAUAAUUAUUUGAUAUAUGUCCUCUCAGGCUGAUUUAGUUGAUGAAGUACAAACAAUUUGGUUUCAAAUGACUCAAAUUCAAAUCAUCUUACCAAAGUUUUUUCAGUCGACUUUGUCACACAUAACAGUAUAUUUAGAGGGUGUUUGACUAACCUUAUUUUAAACAACUGAGAAGCUUUUACAUCUGAUAAGAUAUUUUUAGAGCUGAUAAGUUGUUAUAUCUUAUUUUUAGUUAUUUUUAGGAUUAAUUUUUAGAGUGCUUGGAUAAUGAGCUUAUUUCUUAUUUUUACUUAUUUUAAGAUCUUAAAUAAAAAUGUGGGAUAUAUGUAUUUUUCUUAAAAAAUCUUAUUUGCUCUCCAACAGUUUAUUUAAAAAAAAGUAAGAUUUGUUUUUAAAAAAAAUUAUCAAACACUUUAGAAGAGUUUAUAAGCUCUAAAACGUUUUAUAAGUUUAGCGAAACACACUCUUAGUGUAACUAUAUUUAAUGUAUUUGAGUAGUUAAUUUGAAAUUAAAACCUUAACGAUUUUUAAAGUUCUCGUAACACCAUGAUAAAUACCUAAAAGACAGGUGAUACUUUCGUGCGAUUUGCAGGCUAUUAUUGCACAAACGCGUGAUUUACACAAUACAACCUAUAACUAUUGGUUUGGCAGAUAUGCACAAGGUCCUCAACCUAUGAACCAAGUAGACUUAUUUCGAGUAUGCACACCACGUGUGCAAGUCUUAUCCAGCUUACACUAGAAAAAAAUUAAGAAUCAAAUAAUUAUAAAAAACACAUGUUACAUGUAUGUGUGACAAUACCAUGUAGAUAAGCAUGGCUAAUUAUGUACUUUAUCAAAUUGAUUAGUGCAUAAUUAAAAACUACUAAUAUAUUAAUAUGCUUCAAAUAAGAUACAGUUAAAUCUCUAUAAAUUAAUACAGUCGGACUAGGGAAAUUCAAUUAAUUUAGCGAAUUAUUAAAUUAUCGAGUUAACAAUUUCACACGUUUUCACCAAGAUGGGACCGAGAGAAAUUAUUAUUUAAUUGAAAUUAUUAAUUUAUCGAGUAUUAAUUUAUCGAACAUAGGAUGGCAUAACAGUUGGAGCAAAGUGAACACGUAUUAAUUGACACAUAUUCAAAUCUCAUUGACAAUAGUUAUUGCAUGGAGUUUGUCACACAUGGUUAGCCUAAUUUAAUUUAUGUCUUUAGUAUAGUUUGCAAGUUAUUAUACGAGAGUGCACCUAUAUUGUUGGUUGCAGGUUCCUUUAUUCCCAUUUUUGCUCAUCUUUUAAUCAUUAAAAUUUUAUAGUAAAUAAGGUUGAGGCAUUUUGUAUUAUUUUCCAUAAAUCUGCUUUAUUUUUUUCUUUUUUUCCGAACACUGACACCGACUCGCUGUCAAUGUGUAGUUCACACUCUAAAAUUUUCGUCUCAACAAAUUAUUUUUAGUUCUAUACGUGGAGAUUUUGAACGCGUACUAGAUUAGAAAAACUCGUCACCGAAUUUUCUUUUCCGAACGAAAAUAAAAUUAUUGUAAAAUAAACAAAACAAAACAAAAUUUUCACUCUCGAUGGAUAUAAACAAUGUAUGAAAAUAAAUAAAUGCAAAACCUUUUCAAUCCACAGUGUUUAGAUUCAUCAAUUCCAUUGCAAUAAUAUCAGUCACGUAAAUCUUAUGCUUCCAAAUGAUGCUUUCUAAAGCGAAUCAUGAAAUUACAUAAACACCUACAUAAAUUGAGAGUAACUUUUACAUUUUCAUUGUCUGCGUCCAGUAAUAAAAUGUUAUACAAAAUAAUAAUAAAAAUAAUAAUAAUAAUAAUAAUAAUAAUAAUAAUAAUAAUAAUAAUAAUAAUAAUAAUAAUAAUAAUAAUAAUAAUAAUAAUAAUAAUAAUAAUAAUAAUAAUAAUAAUAAUAAUAAUAAUAAUAAUAAUUAGGAAGUGGUUUUUGGGCUAAUUAAAAAAAAAGGGUAAAUUAAAACCACCCCUGAGGUAUGGUCAAUUUACGAAAAAAACCCUCUUGUUUGGAUAAUUACAUCUACCCCUCAACUAUGAUUUUUUCUUACACCUCCACUCUUAUGGUGUCAAAUUCAACAUAAUCAUCUAGAUUUCAUGGAAUGUGCUCUAGUUUAUACUCAUUUUGUGUAAAAAUACAGUUUCUGAUGCAUCACAAUCUAAUAUAUACAAGCCAAAAAACACAUAUUAUGAUCAUCUUACUUCAAAAUGUGGAGUUCGAAUUGGAUAAAACGGUUACAAAAGUGAUAAUAUUCCAUAUUAUAUCGAAGAUUCCACUAAAUUUGAAACUGGAUUAGUAGUUGAGGGGGUGAUUGUAAUUACCCAAACAAGAGGAGAGUUUUCGUAAUUUAACCAUACCCCAGGAGGUGGUUGUAAUUUACCAAAAAAAAAAAAAAAAGUUAAUGGUCAACACUAGUCAAAAUUAGAUGGCAAAGGUCAUUUCUGGAAAACAGAAAAAAAAAACACGCAGUAAAAAGUGAAAAAUUGUAAAUGAAAAUAGAAAAAGAAACGCUGAGCCGCUGAGUAGAUCUGUAGAUAAAACCAUAAAUCAAUGACGUCUUUUUCUUCGGACCAAAAAUCAAUUAUCCAGCAAACCCACCCCCCUCGCCCCCCACCCCCACCCCCACCCCCACCCCCUUCUUCUUCUCUCUCUCUCUUUCAUAAUCAAUAUCAAAGACAUCUUUUUGGUAAAUGAUCCAUCACUGUACUUUGUGCAUAAAAGAAGAAGAAGAAGAAGAAGAGGGGUCUUUAUUAAAUAUUUAGUUACCACCACCGUCGUUCUCAAUUGCUCGGAUUUCAUGCAUCAUGUUUUUCUAUCUCUGUAAGUUUAGAUUUUAUUUUCCAGCCCCUAAAUAUCCGUUCUUUGCUUUUUUCCCCCUGUUUUUUCGGGUUCCCCUAUUUUUCCGGGCUUUUUCAAACCUGGUUUGAAUUAUAUUUCUUUCCGGAGGAAUUAAUUUAAUAACGGAGACGUUUUUUUUUUUUGUUUUUUUUUUUUGAAAAUUUCAACUUUCAACGGCGAAAAUGGAAGUUUUGUGACCGAGAAAAAUUCAAUUGCGACCGGAUUCCGUUUGGAGAAAGCGAAAUUUAAUGAUUUUUAUUUUAUUUGGGGUUAAUUGUUGUGAAACAGUAGAAAUGAAUUGACGAAACCCUCGUUUUUCUGCAAUUGAUUUUGCAGAAAAAAAAAAAAACAAAUUUUGAAGACCCAUGGAUUCCUCGGCAAUGACAACCGACGGCGUUGUGGAAGAGAUAAUGAGGCUGCACAGAUCAUUGCCGCCGCGCCCUGGUAUAGAGGAAGUAGAAGCUGCCGACACUCUGAUCCGAAACGUCGAGAGGGAAGAUCAGUUGAGACUCGACGCAAUUUCGAAGCAGAGGAAGGGUAAAGAUGUCCCCGAAGAAUUGUUCAAGAUUCUGCAGGAGAUUCAGCGCACCAUGAUCUAUUUCCAGAGCAAGGAGCAAAAGAGUGAAGCUCUCAAACUGCUGGAUCUCGAGAGCGUCCACCUGGUGUUCGACGAUUUGAUUCAGAGAGCUCCCAAAUGCUUGCCCGGGUAUUCGGGCCCGGAUGAUUACCCGGAACCCAUUAAACCCUCGUACCCCUCUUCGAACAACAACAGUCUGAGUUCUACUAUGAACACCAUGGCAACUACUGCACCGUUGAAUUCUUCGAGUUUCUAUACCGAGAAGAAGGAGAAUUCGAAGGCUAAAGAUGUCUUUUACGCCAAGGAUGAUUCGUAUGUGAAGAAGACAAAGGCAGCCUUUAAUGUUGACGGUAUGGGUUUCGGUGUUCGGUCCGUAGAUUUUUCGACCGCACCCCAGAUUGUAGAUCCCACUCUUAAACCAGUUCUUGCUUCAGGUGAGUGAGUUCGACAUUUUUUUUUCGCCUUCUUGAUGUGUCUCUGUCAUGAUUAUUUUGUUGUAAUAACUAAUAAUGGAACGAACUACUUGUUUUAUUGAAGGGCAAGAUGGUGAGAAAGUGAGCUUAAUAAAACUUGCAAGUCUCAUCGAAGUGUCGGCGAAAAAAGGAACACAAAAGCUCAAUCUCCAAGGAAAAUUAUCCGAUCAAAUCGAAUGGCUUCCCGAUUCGAUAGGGAAGCUCUCGAGUUUACUCACAUUGGAUUUAUCCGAAAACAGGAUUGCAGUUCUACCAGAAACUAUAGGUGGGCUCUCCUCAUUACAAACACUGGAUUUACACGCAAACAAAAUCAUCGAACUGCCAGAAUCCAUCGGGAAUAUGCUCAACUUGCUCCAUCUCGAUUUACGAGGAAACCAGCUAAAAUCACUGCCUCCCACAAUCGCUAGGCUAGUUCGUCUCGAAGAGCUCGAUUUAAGCUCUAAUGGGCUCUCGGUUCUGCCCGAGACUAUCGGCUCGUUAGUCAACCUCAAGAAAUUGAACGUCGAAACUAAUGAUAUUGAGGAGAUACCUCACGCGAUUGGUCGGUGCACUUCUCUGGUGGAGCUGCGCGCGGACUAUAACCGCCUCAAAGCCCUGCCCGAGGCAGUGGGGAAGCUCGGGUGUUUGGAGAUUCUUACGGUGCGUUACAACAACAUUAAACAAUUGCCCACUACAAUGGCGUCGCUGUCUAGUUUGAAAGAGCUUGAUAUUAGUUUCAACGAGCUGGAAUCUGUGCCUGAGAGCUUGUGCUUCGCCACCACGCUCGUGAAGAUUAAUAUAAGCAACAAUUUCGCGGACUUGCGAUCUCUGCCGAGGUCAAUUGGGAAUCUUGAGAUGCUUGAGGAGUUGGAUAUGAGCAAUAACCAGAUUAGAAUUCUGCCCGAAUCUUUUAGAAUGCUGACUCAGCUUCGUGUGUUGAAAGUCGAGGGAAACCCUCUGGAGGUGCCCCCGAGAACUGUAAUUGAGAAAGGGCCUCAGGUCUAACUUCUCUCUCGUUUUUUUUUUUUUUUUUUUUUCGUUUUCUUAUUUAUUUAUUAUUUUAAAUUUUCGCUCAGAAGGCUUAAUGUAAGUUUUUGUACCUCAGGAAAUUGUUCAGUACAUGGCUAAUCUUGCUGCGCAGAAGGACGUAAAGACACAGACGGUCAAGCAGAAGAAGUCGUGGGCGCAGAUAUGCUUUUUUUCGAAAUCCAACAAACGCAAAAGAAGCGGUGGACUUUGCUAAAGCGAAAAGACUGAUAUGGUCAUCUUUCUUUCCGAUUUCCAUGUUUUGCAUUUAAAUUUCUGAAAACAUUUCCACAAAUUCCGAUUUUUUUUUUUUUUUUUUUGAAAAAUUACACUUCAUACAGAUAUAAGUAUUUUAUAUCACAGGUAACUAAAAAUAAAAUCUGAAUUUUGUGGAUUCCGAUCCAAAAUUUUCUAAUUUUGAAACAAGUUUUUUUAUUCUUUCAAAAUUCCGAUUUCCGAUUCUUCCAAAAUAUUCCGAUGGAAUCUUUAUAUUACUUUAGAGUGGUGAAUUUAAUGUUUUAUAUAACAGGAAUCGAGCUCGAUGAUUGGAGGGGGAGAGGUUUUUCGAUUUGCCACAUUUUGGGACAUCAACAAAGGAAGCUUUAUGUUCAGAUACGGUUCCGAUCCUUGUUUUAACACAUUAUAGGUUCAUCACAUUUUAUUUUAAUUUUUUGUCAUUUGCUGUAUUUAAUUUUUUUUUCUUUGUUUCGAAACAAAGAUCUAGAAAUGAGCUGUACAUUAUGUACAACCGGCAUGAACAGAAAAGGGAAAGAUGUAAUUUUUACCACUUAUUCUGUUGUGAAACUUAAUUCACUAUGUUGUAAAAGAAUGAAACACUUAUUUAUUCUUUGAUUAAAUUAUGUGUAACAAGUCGUCGAACCUCCUAGGGUCUCGUUUGGUUACAGCAAUAAAAAUUAGCCGAACGGGGAUUAUCCAAUCUUGUUACGACCUAGUUGUAUAGUUGGACUAUGGAAGGGUCCGGUAGACGGUAUCUUGACAACCAAACGAAGCCUUCUAGAGUUACGUUGUUUUUAGUGUGUCUGUGAGAUUAUCGGUUCCCGUAUUUUAUGCUAUCUGAUCUAUACUUAUCUGUCUUGCUUUGCUGUUCUUUGGGACCAUCAACAGGUAAUUGCCAAUUUUUUUUUUUUUUUUUUUUUUAUUCUUAUUCUUAGCAUUACAUAAGAUAAACGGUAAAUUACGGCCAACCCCUUAAGGUAAGGUCAAAUUACGAAACCCCCCUCAUGUUUGGGUAAUUACAACCGUUCCCCUCAACUACGAAACUUCUUCGCGUCUACAUCUAUGGUGUCAAAUUCAACAUAAUUUUCUAGAUUUCAUGGAAUGUUUUCUAGUUUGUACUCGUUUUGUGCAAAGAUGCAGUUUUUGAUGCAUAACAAUCUAAUAUUUACGAGAGCUCGAAUGAGAUAAGACGGGUACAAAUUGGAGAAUAUUCCACAGAAUCUAGAAGAUUUAACUAAAUUUGACACCGCAAGGGUGGACUGUAAGACGAUUCAUAGUCCAGGGAGGUGGUUGUAAUUACCCAAAUAGGAGAGUUUUUUUAUAAUUUGACCUUGCCUCAGGGGUGGCCGUAAUUUACCCUAAAAUAAAAGUCGAGAUGCUGAAAUGCUCGUCCUGGAAGUGGGAAAUUCUUUUUUUAUUUUUUAUUUUUUUAAUUUUUAUCGUACUUGAUAAAUUUAUUUCAAGCUACAAUAAAUGUUCUUUCUACCCACCUUAAAACUAAGCAAAGGGGAAAAAAAAAAAAGUAGAAGGCAAUAAACUAAUUAGUUAUUUUCAGCAGCUAAAGAUUGUUUAGCACCCACAGCAAAGAACUCUGUAAUAACUUCAAGUGGCAUGCCCUUAGUUUCCGGGACUUUAAGGUAGACGAAGAACCAAGCAACGGUGCAGACAGCAGCGUAAAUACCGAAAACGCCCCCGAGGCCUAUCGAGUUGAGCAGCACGGGGAGCGAGUACGUGACGAUGAUAUCUCCAAUCCAAAACGUGAGGGCACAAAUGGCAAUACAGAUUCCACGAACGCGAGUUGGGAAUAUCUCCGCGCAUAGAAUGUUGGGUACCGGCCCGAAUCCCAUCACAAAGGUGCAGAAGUAAACGAUAACGCUACCCGUUGAGAUCACAGCGUGCGUCACAGUCCCCAGGUGAAUGACGUUUCCGAGUACUAGCAAGAUUAGUGUUGUCAGCAGAACUGGUAAAGUUGACAGAAGCAGCCACCUAGUUGUAAGAAGAAAGAUCACAAAUAUUCGUACAAGUUACGACCCUUCUAUUUCAUAACAUUUAUCAUGGUGCUUAAUUAGUAAAAUAUUCGGAAACGUCGAAAAAAGAUUAUUACCUUCUGCCUGCAAUAUCCAUGAGUCUCAUUGCAACACCGAUACUCGGAAGCAUCAACAACGUUGUGAGACCGCUUAUGAGAAGUGAUGCAGAUUCUGAACCGAGCCCCAAAUUCGAGAGGAGAACGCUCACACCGGCUUGUUCUAAAAUUUGAGGAGUGUAGUAUAGGACCCCGUUUAUUCCAGAAAACUGCGUGCCGGAAUAUUCAUUCAUCAAGUAUUAGUAGGCUUAAAGUAAUUUAUAGUUUUGUUAUUUUUUCGAAUUUAUAUCUCCAGGAAAUGCUAGAUCGAGGGCUGAUUUGAUACAUUUAGACGAUAUAUUUUUAUGCAAUCCUAAUCCUCGUAUAACGGUUUAUUGCAUUUAGCACCCCUGAGUUUACUCUAAUUGUCAAAAACACCCGGUGUAAUAAAUAUUAGCCGAGCGCACCCUAUAAUUCAAUUUAAUUAGCAAAUCACCCCUAAAAAUGCAUCGUUUAGGGGGGUUCGCUUAAAAAAAUCCAUUGUAGUGCUUUUUUUUUUUUUUUUUUUUGCUAAUUUUUAUAUUUAUAAUACAAGGAGUUUCUUAGCAAUUCGGUACGAAAUCCAAUAAACUGCGGUUAAAAACUUAUUUACCUGUUGAAGAAUUUGCAAUCCAACACCAACGACAAGUGCAUGUUUGACCCCCGGCUCGAAAAGAUCCCUCCACCCCGCUCCCCCUUUAGCAGCAGCAGCAGCACCACCACCACUACCUUCAACUUGCUUAUCAAUCGCUUCGCCAAUCGAACCAUGACCCGAAACCCUAUCCAAAUGAAGAACCGAUCGGCUAACCAAAGCCGCUGCAUGAACCGGUUCCCCCUCACCCCCACCGAGCGACAAAACCGACCCCCUCCUCGACCCUGCCCCCACCAUACCCCCAACCCCACCCCCCUCUUGGUGCAAGAAUAUCCUCUUCAAACCCCCCGAACUCUUCUCGUCCUUCCUAUACGCCAGCUGCCACCCACCCCCUAUCCCUACCCCACCCCCAACCUGCUCCCCGUUCGUAUCCUGCCUCGAAAGCAACGGGCUCCUCAAAUUCUCCUCCAACUCAUCCUCUCUUCCGGAACCUUCCGAACCAUCGCCAUCUUCACCUAUUAUAUCCUUGUGGUGGGGAUUCUCCUCGUCCCAUUCGUGCCCUACUUCAUCGUCACCGUCGGUUUUGGUGUUGAUCAACAUGCUCCCGAAGUUGGAGAAGAGCAUGCUCCCCAUUUCCGGUACCUUCUCGUGGACGCUUCCGAAGAGCGUCACCAUUGGGUCCAUUGUGGGGAUCAUGCUCUGGCUUGCUGCCGCCGCCAUGCUCCCGUAACGGGACACCAUGCCGAGGGUGCUCUGCUGCCCCGUAACGGGCUUUGCGAUCCACGAUUGGCCCUCUUCCGCUCCGUAUAGUUUUAUUUGGUCUUUGUCUACUACCGCGUGGUCUUGCCUAUCGUUGUUGUCUUGAGAGAUUAUAUACUCCUCAAUCGACGUUUCUCCCCCGAUACCUAGACCUUCCACUAGCAAUGCCAGUUCACCUGAAAAAAAAAACAGAUACUUUGUCAAAUCUUUAAUAAUUUGGCAUUACCAUGAUUAGAAAAAAAAAAGGACUUCAUUUCCGAGUUUUGUUACCGACGAGAGAAUCAUUAAAUUAAAACCUAUAAAAGGAUACACCUACAUCUCAUCAUAGUUAUAAUCUUCAAUCUAGUAGUGUACUACCACAAACAUGCAAGUGUACCCCUCGUGAAAUAAUAUUACUACAAUUACACCGUGAGCGUAAAAUCGGUAAUUUUUGAGGUAUAUUCCAUAUAACAAAAAAGAUUCUGUCAAAUUUCACACCGUAAAUGGACUAUGUAAGAUGGCAACAACCUUUGGCUUUUUUUUUUUGGUAAUUUGACCUUAGUUCAGGGGUUUCUCGUAAUUUACACUAAAUUAGUACGAACCCUUUAAUUUCUCCUAAUCAAUUUACCUUUGAUGGUACAAAUUUGGUGUUUAUAUAUACAUACCCGAUACAUCUUCGGUUCCACGCAACAUUUGAAGAACUUUUUUAGCCUCUCUCAUCUUUCCUUUACUGACAAGCCACCUAGGCGACUCGGGCAAGAAAAGCACCGCAAGCACAAAGUACACUAUCGACGGAGCUGAUAGAACGCCGAGCAUCAAUCGCCAGCUAGGCGAAUCCAUCAAGGACAUUCCAAACACCAUGCAGUACGACAAGAACAUCCCCACCGACCCCGUGAACUGCGGUAGUGUAUUCAGCAGCCCUCGUAUUUCCGGCGGGGCCGUCUCGGAUAUAUAAACGGGCACGAGGGUGACAGCGAGGCCAAUGCCGAACCCAUCGAGUAGCCGUGCCAAAAGGAGUAUUUCGACAUUUGGGGCCCACAGCAUUACUAAACCGCUCAAGAAGUAUAGGAUGGAAGAUGCUAUUAGCAUGGGGCGGCGCCCUAGCCAAUCGGAAACGGGCCCGGAGAAUGUUGUGAUGACCGUUGCCCCGAUUAGUGACAUGGCGACGAUGAGGCCUUCUAUUUUCGGCUGGCUCUGCAAAUCGAACUCCCUUUUGAUGUAAAGUACGGCACCUGAAAUAAUCAAGAUGUAUCAAAUGUUUCGAGUUUCGGGUUUUUAAGCACGUGAUUAAAAACGGUCCCGGAAUUUCAAUCAAGCAUAUGAAUGAUACAAAGUGUUAACUUCAAUUCACACCUAUUAGUACUCAGGAUUAUAUAAUUAUGAAUCACAAACAUAAGACAAUCAAUCACACAUUACAUUAUGGUGAAUAAUAUACUCCAAUACAAUUCAAUCAAUCUUAUCAAUCCUAUCAAUAUUUCCAAACGAGGACUAAUUCUAUAUAUUAGAUUAAUGAAAUUAAAUAAUGAAAGAUCAAUGCAUUAUAGGAUUUUUUUUUUCAGACAUGAUAAAAAUCUGGAAUUUACGAGAGAGAGAGAGAGAGAGAGAGAGAGAGAGAGAGAGAGAGAGAGAGAGAGAGAGAGAGAGAGAGAGAGAGAGAGAGAGAGAGAGAGAGAGAGAGAGAGAGAGAGAGAGACCUGCAAUAGUAGCGUUAUCCCAUCCUUGCAGCAAGUUUCCGAUGGCUGCUGCAAUGGCGACUAACACAGCACCCCUCAUCGUAGGUAAAAUUUUUGAAUCUUUGAUUCUUUAUAAAUAUUAAAUAAUAUCAGGGAAUUAGAUGCAUUCCUAUAACAUAUAAACUAUAUGUUGUUGAUAUUAUAAUGUAAUAUUUGUGAGAGAAUUCACAACUUACAACUGUAUUCAACCUUCUUACACAAGACUACAUGAGAGAGAGAUGAAGAGAGAGAGAGAGAGAGAGAGAGAGAGAGAGUAGUUUGUGGUAUAGGAUUGGAAAAGCAGUUCAAAAGGGCGACAAUGUGGCAAUGCAAAGAGAGUCCUUCGCUAAUUCUGUUUCUUUUCUUUGCCUCAUCUCACAACCCCUUUAUACUCGCUUCUAAUUGUUGCCCACUGCACAAAAUUCUGCCACGUCAUAUCAUUAAAACACUCUAAUAAUAAUAAUAAUAAUAAUAAUAAUAAUAAUAAUAAUAAUAAUAAUGAUGAUGAGUAAAUCAGCUAUAUUUUUUGGCAUACUACAAAUAAGCGCUUUCUCACAAAAAAAAAAAAAAAAAAAAAAACAAAUAAGCCAUCAUGGACCCAUGAUAUACUUAUUUAUAAAUGAGUCCACACAAAAAACUCAUUUACACAAAAGUUCAUAUAGAUGUGUAAAAGACUAAAAUCAUUUUCACAAUUUAAUAUGCUCCAAUUUCAUCCUUUAAUUUUAAUUUAAUCUCAAUUUGACCACAAAUUUCACUAAUUAUUUAAUUUUGACAAAAAACUCAAUUUUAAGAACAAUUUCGCCCUUCGCUGCCGUUGAUAACCGGUAUCUGGCAUACAUUUUUUUUCUAUCUCCUUUUUUCAGCCGGUUUUCGGUGUUGACUUUUUCGAUUUUUUCCCUUUCCUUAUUCUUCUUUCUGCCGCUGUUGACCAACAGUCACGCCGGUCUCCGGCGGCGUUGAUUUUUUAAUUAUUCAUUUAUUUAAUUUAUUUUUUCUUUCACAUAUUUUGCCCCGUUUAAACAACAAUAUUAUUAUGCCUUACAGUCAUAUUAACUAUAUUACUGUUAAACACAGUUAUAUUAACUAUACUACAAUUUAAUACAACAAUAUUGUUAUAUUAGUCUCUUGCACAUUAAUAUUAACAAAAAACAAAAAAAAAUGUUAUUGUGUAAUAUAAUAAUACUAAUAUGUUGACUGUUCAACAAAGACAAACAUAAUGAAAAAUCAAAAGAAUAAAUAUUGAUGUGGUUGACAGUACUAUUAUUAUCAUCCAAAGUAAUAUUACUGUACAAUAGUAAUAUUACUGCGACAACAAUAAUAUUAACGUCAACCACAUGCAGUAAUAUUAUUGUGUUUACAUUAAUAUUACAAUAGUAGACAUUAAUAUUAUUACGUUAAUCGGUCAACAACUCAAACAAAACAAAAAAGCGAAAAACAAAUAUUGAUGUAGCUGAAAGUAAUAUUAUUGUGUUUACAAUAAUUUUACCGUCGACGACAGUAAUAUAAUUACGUUGACUUAUCAACAAAUCAAACAAAAAACAACAAAAAAAUAAUAAUAUUGUCACUGACAGGAAUUGUACUGUCAACGACAGUACUAUAACAUAAAUGUAUUGUCAGCGACAGUAUAAUUACUGUUAAUGACAGUAAUUACUGUCAACGUUUAGGGGCAGACGUUAAAAAAUGGAUAAAACUUUUAGGGAAUAAAAUACUAAAAAAAUGAAAAAACAAAAAAAUUCAACCCCCGACACCGGCGGCCAAAAAAGCAGGAAAAAUAAAACGUCAAUGCCGAAAACCGGCGGUAAAAAUAAGAAUUUCAAAAAAUAAAAGUAAAAAAAAAAAUUCAAAAUAGGAUUUUUGUGGUAAAAAUGGAUUAAAUUGGGGUUACAAUUAAGAAAUGAGUUUAAAUUGGUAAAAAAAAUCUUUAUUUAUAAUACAAUUAAGAAAUGUGUUUAAAUUGGUAAUUUUUUUUCUUUAUUUAAUUAUAAUACAUAUUAAAGUGAUGAACUUAUUGACAAAAGAGAUAUAACCCGAGAAAAAUAAUAAAGAUGAUCAAUGUUAUCAGAACCGGACCGGACACAGAACCGCCGAGGCAUUCGGGUCACAGUUAGACCGGUUACCGGGUUCAACCCGGGUUUUUAUUUUUUUUAAGUUUUUUAAGUAUUUUAUUAAUACUAGUAAUUCACCCGUGCGAUGCACGAGAUCAAUUUUUUCAAAAAAAAUAUUUUGGAUAAAAUAAAACGAACGAAAAUUUUGAACAGUUGACAUACAUGUAAAUGAUACCCAAAAAAAAUGUUUUAUUGAAUCAAAAUAUUAAUUUGUUUGUGAUUUACCUUCAUAUUCGCUGAAAAUCUUUCGUGCACACAACAUUGCUCAUAAUCCCAGUUAUAUCGCCUGAUUCUGAGUUGAUAAAUAUAUUUAUCUCAACUCUACUUUUAACACUGGACAUUGCGGCGUAAAUUGCCUAUCCACCCUAAUAUUAACACUAAUAUUACACUAACAACAACUACUACUACUAAUACUAAAACCAACAUUGAUAAUACUAAUACCUAUACUAAUAUUAAUACUAAAACCAACACUAAUAAUACUAAUAUUAUUACUAAUCAUAAUAUUAAUACGAUGAUUAAUACUAAUAGUCUAAUACUAAUAUUAAUAUCAACACUAAUAAUAAUAAUAAUAAUACGGUACUUCUAAUACGAAUAUUUAAUGUUUAAACUAAUACGCCAAUACUAAUAAGAAAACUAAUACUAAUACUAAGGGCAUCUCCAAUCAUGAGCUUUUUGGGUUGCUAAAAGUUAUAAUUUAGGAAUUAUACCAUUUAUCAACAAAAAAAUCAUCUCCAACGGAGGAUGUAAAAUUUAGAUGGCCAUGUAUAUUGAUGCCUCCAACUGCAAUCUAUAGCUGUUCCUAUUCAUGGCUGCUAAACUAAAAUAAUAUUAAAAUAAUCAAAAGGUAACAAAAGCUAGCUAAUAUUAUUUUUUAUCAUGGUAAAGUUGAAAUGGUUGAAAAGUAAUAUAAUAUAAUAAAAAGCUAUAAUAUAACUAAUGUGAUUGGAGUAGAUGGAGUAAAAGUGAACACGAAAAUCAUUAUUCACAAGGUAUAAUACAUAUAGCAUCCCUUUUUUUAGCAUUCUCCUUUGGAGAUGCUCUAAUAGUCUAAUACUAAUACUAAUACUAAUAUUAAUACUAAUACUAAUACUAAUACUAAUGUUAAUGCUAAUGUUAAUGUUAAUGCUAAUACGCCAAGACUAAUAUGAAAUUGAAUACUAAUAAUGAUAAUAAUAAUAAUAAUAAUAAUGAUAAUAACACUGAUAUUGGUAUUGAUACUGAUACUGAUAUUAAUAUUGAUACGAAUAUUAAUACACAUACUGAUACACAUACACAUAUUGAUGUCGAUACUGAUAUUAAUACUAUUAUUAAUAUUAAUACCAAUACUAAUAUCAAUACUAAUAUUAAUACUAAUAUUCAUACAAAUAGUCAUACCAAUACUCAUACCAAUACUCAUAUAGAUAUAGAUAUUGAUACAGAUAUUGAUACUCAUAAUCAUACUGAUACUGAUACUACUGAUACUCAUAUUAAUACUAAUACUAAUACUAAUACUAAUACUAAUACUAAUACUAAUACUAAUACUAAUACUAAUACUCAUACUCAUAGAGAUCUUUUUCAAAUUUCAAUUUGCAAUCUCAACAAAUCCAUAAUCGAGACCUACUUCAUAAAAAUCAAUCUCGUAAUAUUGUACGUCGAUUUCUUUUCAUUGGAAUAUCAAACCAUUUUGUUUUAGGGAAAUAGAUAAUUUCUCUAAAAUGUUUUUUAAUGAUCCAAAGAAUACACACGCAUAAUGUCCUCGUUGGAUUGACAACAUCCAUUUUCACAUAUGUAUAUUUUACUAUCUAUUUCGCACAUUAUUUUUAAUGUGUUUUUUCCUUCCCUGGUCAAUGUAGAAUUUUUGCUAUAUUAUUUAUAUAUUUCUCUAGUUAGUAUAGAUUUUUCUGCAAGAGCAGUACUUCUAAAUUUUAAUAUGCUUGCACAAGCAAUUAUUCCUAUUUCAAGACAUACAAAAUCAAACAUUGUCACAAAUACAUCUAGGCACAAUGUUGCUAAUAUAUCAUAAUAUUGGAAUUAAUGUGAAUGAAGAAGAGUGAAUCUAAUGUCAUGUACAUAAAGAUUCAAAAGAUUAAUAGCAAAAAAAUAUUAUGAACGUACAAACUAAUAAUAUUUUACGUAAAUAUUAAAAAAAUGAUAAAAAUAAAAGAAUUAUUACGAUACGUACAAAAUAAUAUUGUAACAUGAAAAUAUAAAAACUAAAGAAGAUUUAUUUAAAUAUAUUCAACAAAUCAUAUAAGAAUCUCUAUUACAAAUAACGAAAUACAUACACGAGUUACUUUAGUAUUUUUUUUAUUAUAUUAUCACAUUCAUUAAACUCAACUUCUUCUUCAUCGAAACUAAACUUACAAUUGUUGAAUGUAUAAUCAAAGAUGGAAAAACAGAAGUAAAAGUUUUUAAAAUCCAUCCAUAUAAUAUAUCUAAAUCAUAUCUUUGCAUUCUACACAACGCCACAAUGCUUCUCUCUUGCGGACGUCGCCGCAUAUAACACACAUGAUGUUAUCCAUGGAUCUGAAAAUUAAAAGGAAAGCAAAACAAUGAUUCGUUAGAUUAUUAUACAUACGCAUACAUAAUAAACGUAUAACGUAAUAAACAUUUGACGAUAAAUAAAAUGCUUCAAAGCGAGCAUGCACUUCAAUUACAAAACAUAUUGAUCGCAUUAUGAAAUUACAAAACAUAAAUAUGACAAAAAAAGUUUUAAGGUGAGGGAGGACAUUGGUUUAGCAUGAUCAUAACAAAAUGUGUUGAUAAAGAAUGAGAUAAAUGAGUUUGUGUUGAUGGUAUUUAUACUUAAUUUUCACAUACUAAAUAAGUUAAUAAAAUAACUUUAAGCAAACAAUAUAUUUUAUUAUUUUUUGUGUUACUCGGUUAGAACAAAUCAAACAAAUUCAAACAAUUAGAAUUAAUAAGAAUCCGAAAUUAUUGAGAUGCAUAAUAAAUAAAUGCGAUUGUUAGGGGUUACUAAAAAAUAUUCAAAUCACAUGUAUUGAUUUGAUAAUAACAUUAAAUAGUAAUGUAUUAAACAGAAUCAGAAAUAACAUAAUCAAGGAAACAUAACAAAAAUAACCAAACAAUCAAAUCAAUUAAUCUACCUCGUAAAAAUUGGCUAAUGGAUAUAACAAAGUCAAAUUAAAGAUACGAAAGCAUGGCUUUUAAAAUAUUACCAUUUUUACGUGUUUAUUAGGUACAAAAUAUUAUGCUCAUAGUUUAUUUAGCAUAAUACACACAUUGAUUUGAUACAGUAAUAAAUAAAAACCUAAAUAAUAUCAAUUUGUAUAUAACAAAGGCAAACAUAACAAAAAAUAAAUAAAAAAAUAAAAUCAAGUGAUCAGUCAUAUCCUUAAAAUUAAUAAUUUUAAUAAGAAUAUCAAACAAAUCAAUUCAAGUCAUUAAUCAUAUCCUUAAAAUCAAUACUUUUCAUAAGAAUAUUAAACAAAUCAAAUCAAAUUAUUAUUUUAUAUUAACGUAAGACAUAUUUUUUUUNNNNNNNNNNNNNNNNNNNNNNNNNNNNNNNNNNNNNNNNNNNNNNNNNNNNNNNNNNNNNNNNNNNNNNNNNNNNNNNNNNNNNNNNNNNNNNNNNNNNAAAUAAUCAUUACAAUUCAUUCCAUUAAUUGACAUAUUACUAUUCCAUUAAUAUCUGUAUAAUUUCCUAAGAUUGAGUGUCUAAAAAGGACAACUCGAUACUAUAUUUCAUUCCAUUAAUUGACAUAUUACCAUUCCAUUAAUAUGAUAAUGCAUUAAUAAAAUAAAUUAAUGUAAAAUUAUAAAACAAUAUAAUUACUAUAAUGAAUUAGUGAUGAUAUAUUAGUACUCAACAUUUCAAUGUAGUUAAGUGAAACAAAUCAAGAAAAAAAGACGAAAACAAUAAGUUUCCAAAACAAAAAACGAACAGGUGAUCCAACUUUACACAAAUUAAAAAAUGAAAUAUAUAAAAUUUUAAAUAGCGAAAUUGCAUAUAUAACCAUAUAAUAAAUGAGCUUGAUGAAACAAUAUUAAAAAUAAUUACAGACAUAUAUAAAGAAUAGAAAAUUGUUAAUUACGUACAUAUCAUGUUUUACAUUUAUCACUUCGAUGACGGUCUUUUAAGGAAUGAAAAAAAUGAGUAUUUUUUCUCGCACAAUUCAUAUGAGAUUCACGAAAUUCUUUCUAUUCCUUUGACGCAACCGAUGUAGUCACACAUAGCACAUAGGUCGAUGUAUCCAUAAUAUCUACAAAAAUAACAUGAACAAACAACAAAUAACAUGUUAGACUAAAUACAUGUAUAUGUGUAAAUAACCAUUACACACAUUCAUUAUAUCAAAAUAAUAAAAUAAAGAACAUGUAAAACUAUGAAUAUGAACAACAAAAAAAUACAACAUUUCCUUUUUGCAGCCAUUUCGGGCAUGACCUAUUUUUUUUAUUUUUAUGUGAGUGUAAAAUUCGGGUAAAGAGUAUGAGUGAGUAAAAUGGAUUGGAAUAAGGGGUAUUUAUACUUGGGUUUUAUAAAAUAAAAAAGUAAAUAGUAAGUUAUUAUGGAAAUACACAUUUAAUGUUAUAAUCUUAACCAAUUAUUGUUGAUUAGAUAUUUUCCAUGAAUUAAUUAACCAUAUGAAUCAAAAUCAAUCAACUUAAAUAGGUAAGCAAUCAAAUUAUAUGACAUAAAAUUGGGGAAUUGAUUGAUAAUUUAUAGUAAAAAACAUUUGAAUUCAAAAUUUGGAAUCCGAAAAUAUAAAUUUCAAAAUUUAAAUGUUGUUUAGUUAUUAAUAUUUAUAAAAUUAAAUUAAUACAUAUACAUUAAGUUGGCAAAAUAUUUAAACAAAAAAAAAAUCCAUGUAUGAUGAUUAAUUAAUUUAUUGGUAUAUUCAUUUGAAUUAUUAAUGAUUUGUAAAAAUAAUAAUUAUUAGUAUUAUUAUUAUUUUUGAAUAUUAUUAUUAAAAAAAACUAAAUUCGAAAAUAUAUAUCAUCAAAAAAUGAGUGCUCUAUUUUAAAAAAAAAAGACAUUCGACAAAUAUAUUUCAUAAAAUUAAAUUAAAACGUGCGAUAAAAACAAUUAAUUAACCGUGUAUAAGUAAUUAAAUAUAAUUGUGAUUAUUUUGCAAUUAAAAAAUAGUGUGUAAAAUAUGAUAUAAACAAUCGAAUACUCCUUAAAAAAUUGAUUGUUCUGAAUUUUUAAAAAAGAACAGGCGAAAAAUAUAGUUUAGAAAAUUAAAAUUAUAAAACAAUAUAAUAUUUUUAGAAAUAAUAGGAUAUUAAAUUCAUGAAAUAUUAUAUAUAAAUAUGUGGUAAUUAAUAAAUGAUUGUGUAAAUGUGAAAUAGGAAAGAACUUAAAAACAUACCUAAAUAAAAAUGUCACAUAAUCAAUUGAAGAAUCCACCUCAUCAAUUGAACUCCAACUAAGCAAUUUUGAUAAUUGACAUCAUCAUUUGCCACGUGUCAAUCAUUGAGGGCAUAGAUCCUCUUUUUAUAUUAUAUAUAGAUUAAUAUGUUUAAUUUAUUAUUUUAUUCAUUUUAUCUUCCAGUCCCUUCCUCUUUAAUAUUAUAUUACGCAUUAUUUAUCUUUGUCAUCAUCUUCACCAGUCCACUCUCUCUCUCCACACUUCACCCUCUUUUACCCACUAUUAAUUUUUUCCUUAAACCACAGCACGUCUGCCCCCUCUCUCUCUCCCUUUUCUAUUAAUGUCAUUUUCUUCUUUCUUCUUAUUUUUCCUCUCUCCCUAUCUAGAAACACACAACGUCUUCCGACAAACCAGAACCAAAUCCGUCGAAAUUCGCAAAUCCACGGCCAGAUCUGCCGAUUUCCGACCGACCUCGGCCUAUUCUACACAGAUCCGGCCACCAACAGUCACCGGACGUAGUUUUUUAGAUGAAAACCGGGGUCAUUGACCGGUUUCCGGGUUCACCGGUUUUGGCCGGUCGAACCGGGUUUUCUAUGUUUGGCCCGGGUUUUUGAUUUUCCCGGUUUUGAGGGUCAGAUCGGACCGCUUUCAUCACGGGUUCCGGUCGAACCGGUCCGACCGGCCGGUCCGGUCCGGUUCUGAGAACAUUGAAGAUGAUUGAUCGAUCGACUUAUGCAUAAAACCCCAUUUUUUUUAGUCGGUUAUAUUUUUUUAGUUAAACGACUAAGUUUUAUUGAUGAAGUGGUUAAAAUUAUUUGGAUAUUCAGACAUGAUAGAUAACAUGUUUUUGGAAAGAAGCUUAAAACACAAUAACCAUAUACUUCCUCAUGAUAGUACUACUUUAUUUUCAUUUUAACAAAAAACCUAUCAUAUUAUUACUAUUUCAAAAUAAGAGUUUUAGUACGUGAGUAGUUGUGAAUCCAUAAAUUUAGGUAAAGAUAUUCAAAAUCGAGUUAGUAAAAAACAAAAAUAACAUUUAAUAAAAAUGGCGAAAGAAAAGUUUACUGAAGUUCGAAUCCAGCACCUCCGAUUUGAUUUUUAAUGGUAUACACAUAAUCAAUACAAAAUACGUAAAAAGAAAAAUAAAAAAUUAAAAAGAUUAUUUGCAAGUUUUUGGAGAAUUGAUGUGAUCUAUGACUAGAGUGAGAAAAAUUAAUGACAGAUAUCUCAAAUUAUAUAUAAGCUCAAAUUUCUGGAUACUUUUCGGUUCGAUUCAUUUGGAAUAUUAUUAUUUCCUCCAAUUUCUAAGUUUUUACUGUUCUCUAUCAAAUAUUGCAUUUGUGAUGCAGAGUUCGAGCGAAUGUGUCGGAAGCGCAUUAGUGCUUGCUUUACUCGAUAAAAAAUAUGAAUGACAGCAAAUUGAAGAUCUCUAACUUUCAAUGUAUUUUUAGGGUUUCUUGAUUUUCAGGUAUUCUGGCAGCAAAUUAAAGCUUUGGACUUUCUUAGUUGGCAUAAAUCCUCGGUUUCUCCCAAACAAGGAGUUCAAACACUAUGAUGUUUCUCUCACCAAAAAUUGAAGGUAAAAGACCAUGGCCGAAAGAAAUAAAUUAGUUAUUGAGAUAGAAUGAUUGAACAUGGUGGAAUUUAAAUCCAAGUGUCUAUUGCAUUGUUCAAUUUUCGGGAUAUUUAAUUCCUGGCCAUAAAGAUGUAUUUGCAUGAAACCGUUCCGCUAGCUUCUUUUGUAGCUCGCUAUGAGAUUGGGAUUAUCAUUUUGUUUUUUCAUUACAGCUAUUUCUCUUGCAUGGUUACGCAAAAUUCAGGACUCAUGGUUUGAUGUAAGCGAGCCCGUUUUGCAGUUAAAAUGACCACAUUGAUGAACGAAAAAAAUAUUGAGAAAGUUGAGAAAUCAUCGUAUGGAGAUUCUAGAUGACAACCAAGGUGAUUGAUGUUAUGUCACGCUGCGGGUACAGGAUAACUCACUCGUUUAGGGAAUGGUUCCCAUUUUGUAAAUUGACCAGCUCAAACAUGAGAAUAUCAGGAGAGGAGUAGUUCAUCGAGGUUUUCCUACAACAUGCUACGAGGUUUCAAGAAUUGCUUACGAUCUUCCAGCAGUAAACAUGUCCCUCAAAACAAAAAACUUGGAAAUGAAGGUAAUUCUUGGAAAUUGUUGUAUUAUAUUCUUUACUAUUAGAGAUUAAAUGAUACAUUUCACUAACAACUUAACUUUUGGUUGAGAUGGUCAUUCAACAUGGUAUCAGAGUCAGGCCAAAUGGAAGGUCCUGAGUUCGAAUCCAUUUAAAAAUAUUUCAAGCGCAAGACUUCAAAUGUAAUUCGUGUGGCCUUGAGGGGGGCGUAUUGAAUAUAUUAAUAUUAAAUGAUACAUUUCACUAACUCACAGCUCAAAUAAAACAAUGCAAAUUAAACAAUGGGGUCCAAAGCUCAUCAUAGGUACUAACUUUGGGCACUAGAAUAGAAUUUUUUUUCCCCUCUACUUUGUAUACAGAAUUAUGCAAUUGUAUAAAGAAGUAUCCUACUGUUUUUUAGUCAAAUUAUUGUCUUUUGGUUUCUAGCUUUUCUUCUCAUUAGCUAUAGCAAACUGUAAAUGGUUGAUAUUCGAUCUAAUUUGUGAUGAAUACUUUUAGGUUCAACAGUUAACAUUAGUAUGUUGUUUUUUCUUGUCAACUUUUCUCUCUCUGAAUCUUUGACAGUUUGCUAUUAAGAUCAACUUUUUUUUAUAAAUGUGAUUGAUGGAUUAUUUGCUAUGCAUUUUUUUUAUAUAAGCUACUUUAUUAUGCAGUUAAAAAAAAUACAUCCUUAUUUAGUAUUGUAAUGUCAUGUUUAUUGAAAAAUAAAUUAUAAACAAAUACAAUAUAUUAAAAAAACGUAUAUUUUCACUUACGAUGGGCAUUACGUCCGUGCAUAGCACGGUGCGACUCCCCUUUUUUAUUCUAAUUACUUCACACUAGAUUUUGACUAGCACAGUCCUGGUCCACAACAGUAUAUGUUUAUAAUUGUUAUUAUUAUUUUUAUCUCCUAGCCUCCUGUCUAUUUUCUCGAAUUUUUCUUUACUUCAUUUAUUUAAUGAUCAAUUUUAUAUUAUAACAAUUAAGUUUAUAUAUUUUUUUCGGAAUGAAUUUGUAUUAUUAAAUUUGUAUAAAUAUUAAUGUUUUUACCGACAUCACUAAUAAAUUUUAUUAUAAUUUUUAUUGUCAUGUAUUACACUAAUUAUUAUUUUCACUUUUGAAAUGUUAUCCCGUGCAUCGUACGGGGGCAAAAAAAGCUAAUACGAAAUAUGAAGAUAUAAUUUCUUAGUUAAGACAAUCAAUAAAAUUUUGUUCCUAAAAAAAAGAAAAAGACAAUCAAUAAAAUUAAAUUAAGGUGGUGCUUGCAAAAGCUUAUUUAAAAGUAGAAGUUAGUGAUUGUGAGUUACUUUGGAGUUAAGUGAUUAUUUUUUAAAGUUGUGAGUGUUUGCAAAAUAGCUGGAAAAUCAAUUAAAAUAGAAAAAGCAGGCACUCAUGGGUGCUUGUUGGUUUUAUGACCUAAAUCUGUUAUGGGCUAGAAGCCCUAUUAGCCACUUGUAAAUAUACCACCAUGAGAAGCCCAAGAGGGGAUUAGUGAGCCCAAGUAUGAUUUGACCAAAUCCAUCCGUUGGAUUUUGGUGGUUAAUCCUGACCGUUCAAAAUCGCACCUAUGUACCCUCUUCUCUCUUCUCUUCAUUCAUUUCUGAAAGCUCUACUUCUCUAUUCUUUUCCGCCGCUCUUGCUUUUGUCUUCUUCCUCCCGUAUACUACAUUGACUUUGUCAUGGUUGGAGGUCAAAGAACAUGGUACACGGCUGACUUUGACUCUCCAGUACAGCCUUCACCAGCUAUAUUUGACUUCAGUAUCUAUAAAUAUCAGUAUGAAGGCUGGAAGAAGAUAAGAUUCAGAUCCAAACCCAUACUCGACCUAAAUACUUCAGUUUCUUCUUUUGUGAGCUCUGAAAGGGGGUUUUGGUGAGUGCGUAAAGUUGAGUGCUUGAUCAAUUCUUUCCUUUGUGGAGUUCUGGGUGAAAUUAGGGUU